rnacentral:rRNA from 1 species
AUGGCGGUGGCAGCGGGGAGGAGGCUGCUGCUGCAGUCGGAGGCGCCGCGGCGCCAGCAGCAGCAGCAGGCGGCGUCGCCGUCGCCGUGGAGCGCGGGGUACCUCAACACGUGGCUGUCCCAGCGCACGCCCGUCUUCGGCCUCCGCCUCUGGGUGCUCAUGGGCAUCGCCGUCGGCGCCGCCAUCGUGCUCGUGCUGCUGCUGCUCUUCCUCUGCCUCUCGCGCCGCCGCCGCGGCCGCCGCGCGGCCAAUCUCUACCACCCCGCCGACGCCAAGCCCCUCAAGCAGCAGCAGCAGCACUUGCAGCACCACCACGCGCCCACGCCGGCCAAGGACAUCCAGGAGAUCGUGCGCCGGCAGCAGCAGCCGGCGCCGACCCCGCUGCCGCAGCCCGCCGCGGUGCAGAUGGCCAAGGCGGAGCCGCCGCCGCCGCCGCAGGCGCAGGCGCAGACGCUGCAGCAGCAGAGGGCGCAGCUCCCGGCGAUGCCCGCGGGAUCCAAGCGCUCGACGGCGGCCAGCGGCCUGUCGGCCACCACGAGCGGCGGGAGCGAGCGGGACCUGGCCACGCCGAGGAGCGCCGGCAGCGGCGCGGCGGGGCCGGAGGUGUCGCACCUCGGGUGGGGCCACUGGUUCACGCUCCGGGAGCUCGAGGAGGCCACCGACGGGCUCGCCGAGGAGAAUGUGAUCGGCGAGGGGGGCUACGGGAUUGUUUACAGAGGCACGCUGCAAGAUUCCACCAUCAUUGCCGUCAAGAAUCUGCUCAAUAAUAGGGGCCAGGCCGAGAAGGAGUUCAAGGUGGAGGUCGAAACGAUCGGCCGUGUCAGGCACAAGAACCUCGUCAGGCUGCUCGGCUACUGCGUCGAGGGUGCCUACAGGAUGCUUGUCUACGAGUAUGUCGACAACGGCAACCUUGAUCAGUGGCUUCAUGGAGAGAUUGGGGAGGAGAGCCCAUUGACUUGGGAUAUGAGGAUGAACAUAAUUAUCGGAACUGCUAAAGGGCUGGCCUAUCUCCACGAAGGGCUGGAACCGAAGGUUGUCCACCGUGACGUCAAAUCUAGCAAUAUUCUCAUCGACAAGCAGUGGAAUGCUAAAGUAUCGGAUUUUGGGCUUGCGAAACUGCUGUGCUCGGAGGAAAGCUACGUUACUACCCGUGUUAUGGGAACUUUCGGCUAUGUGGCGCCUGAAUACGCCAGCACCGGGAUGUUAACUGAGAGGAGCGAUGUGUAUAGCUUUGGCGUUCUUUUGAUGGAGAUUAUAACUGGUAGAUCUCCUGUAGAUUAUACUAGGUCAGCUGGAGAGGUGAACUUGAUCGAAUGGCUGAAGAACAUGGUGGCAGAGAGGAAAGCAGAGGACGUAGUCGACCCCAAGCUUCCCGAGAGGCCUUCCUCGAAAGCACUGAAGCGGGCUCUUCUGGUCGCCCUUCGCUGCGUCGACCCCGAUGGCCAUAAGCGGCCUAAAAUGGGGCAUGUGAUCCACAUGCUGGAGAUGGAGGACCUAAACCCCCGCGACGACAGGAAGCCCCGAAGGGAUGCGACGACGGACAGAUCCAGCUCGAUGGAGGACGGGAGCCUGAGCAAGCGCGAGAACCAACGGUACCGAUGA